CUCAAUGAUCGAUCAUUUUUCGGGCUUCUCGAAGGGCAUCUUUAAAAGAGUUGACUUCCUUGGUCAACUCAAUGGUAGCUGAUUGUUUUUGCUCCAAAAAAUAUUUUAGCCAGUCUAUUUCUUCCUUCGUUGCUAUAGGCACUAAAGCUGAAGCUUCAAAGAUGGAGCCGACGAAGCUGGCUAGAUAAUGCCGAACCUAUAUACCAAAGCUAUUAAAUACAAUAAGCUGCAGGAGAUCAAAAGAAAAGAUCCAAAGACUCCUUACCUG
rnacentral:lncRNA from 1 species